CAGAAAAAAUAUACACACAGAACUAUGACGUUUACACAAGAAUAUCAACCAACAACAAGAUGGACCUAGAAAAGACAUUCGGUAUCUUCUAUUAAACAAACAGUUCAUUCUUGGCUUGUUUAUCUCCAUUUUAUGUUUCUCUAAGUGACAACUUUAUUAUACUGAUCGACAGGAAAGCCAUUUCUACAAAUGUAUUUAGGCAACUGACUGGUCUAACUCAUUUUCUGAAAUUCAAUUUUCUCCAACAACAUUAGUGAAAAACUAGAGAAAGAUUCACGGUUCAUAUUAAUGCACUCGCUAUGAUUUCUACUGUGAGUAUACAGCAGACUCGGUGCAUAAUUUGAAAUAGCUGACGAAUAAAAAGAGCUUUAAACCAGGGGUGUCCAAUCUUAUCCGGAAAGGGCCGGUGUGGGUGCAGGUUUUCAUUCCAACCAAGCAGAAGCCACACCUGAGUCUAUUGAAAGCCAAAAUCAACUGAUUAAACAGGUGGAAUCAGGUGUGGCUCCUGAUUGGCUGGAAUGAAAACCUGUACCCACACCGGCCCUUUGCUCUUUAAGAAAAAUAUGUUACAGUUGCUAUGGUCAAAACCUACACAAGAACAUUUCAUGGUUUAUCAAAACAGAGCUCCAAUAUCAGCCCUUUGUAACAGUCAAAUGUGAGCGUGCUGGUGGGGACGGUGGCAAGGAAAAACUGCCUAAGAUGAUAUGAGGAACAAACCUUGAGAGGAACCAGACUCAGAAGGGAACCCAUUCUCAUCUGGGGUUGCGAGGAGCACAAGGCAGGGGACACCCUGGACAGGGGACCAGCCCAUUGCAGGGAACAAUCACACAUACGUUCACAUACUACGGACAAUUUGGAUAUGCCAGUCAGCAUACAAUGCUGGGGGAGGACUGGCCAAGGAAACCCUCAAGAACAUGCAAUGUCUGCACACACAGGGUGGGGACGACAAUCAAACCCCUACCCUGGAGGUGUUGGGAAAAUGAGCUAACUACUAACCCAAUAUAUAUAGUCUCCUCUGAAACUAUUGGAACAGAAAGGCCAAUGUAUUUGUUUUUGCAGUACACUGAAGACAUUUAGGGUUGAGAUCAAAAGAUGAAUACAAAAAGAGGGUUUAGAAUUUCACCUUUUAUUUCCUGUUAUUUAUAUGUAGAUGUGUUAAACCACAUGGAACAUAGCACACUUUGUAUCAGACCACCCAAUUUGUAGGCAAGGAAAAAUAUUGGAACAUGUGACUGACUGGUGUUUCCUGUUAUCCAGGUGUGUCCUGUUAGGUUGAUUGUUCAUACAAUAAAUAGCUCUCAUCAUCUACUCUUGAUUUUAGCUGUCUAUUUCACCUGUGAAGACUGCAUUUGUUGUUAAAAAGGAUAAGCCAACAUGAAGACCAGAGAGCUGUAUAUGGGAGAAAAACUAGACGUUUUGAAGCUGAGGAAAGAGGGAAAAUUAGUCUGAGGCAUUGCACAAACAUUAGGCAUGGCCAAUACAACAAUUUGGAAAGUCCUGAAAAAGAAAGAAACCACUGAUGUAUUGAGCAACAGACACAGAAUGGGUUGGCCAAGAACAGUUGAUGACAGAAACAUUGUGAGAGCUGUGAAGAAAAACCAAAAACCAGUCAGUGACAUCACCAGCAACCUCCACAGGGCAGGGGUGAAGGUAUCACAAUCCACCGUUCGAAAAAAACAUUGAGAGCAGGAAUAUAGAGGCCCUACCACAAGAUGCAAACCACUCAUCAGGAGUAAGAAUCAGAAAGCCAGAUUGGUAUUUGCAAAAAAAUACAGAGAUGACCCACAAAAGUUCAGGAACCAAGAUUAACCUCUGCCAAAGUAAUGGAAAUACCAAAGUGUGGAGAAAGAACAGAUCUGUUCAUGAUCUAAAACAUACAAGCUCAUCUGUCCAGCACAGUGAAGGUAGUGUCAUGGCUUGGGCUUGCAUGGCUGCUUCUGGAACAGGCUCACUAAUCUUUAUCGAUGAUGUAACUCACGAUGGUAGUAGCAGAAUGAAUUCAAGAGUUUACACAAACAUUUUGUCUGCCGAUUUACAGAAAAAUGCAUCCAAAGUAAUUCAAAGAAACGUUUUCAUGC